rnacentral:lncRNA from 1 species
UCCAACAAAACUUCCGUGCUUCACUGCUCUUCUCAACCAGACAUUCUCUAAGCUCAGAAUCUUCGCCGUGAAAACGUAAAGAAGAAACACAAAGACCCAGCUCUCAGAAAACCAGCAGCCAUGUCUUUUCUUCUCUCUAAUCUAUCACCUUCGAUACUUCUUCAAACCGGAAAAUCCCCAAACCUUAGACCCAUCUUCACUCCAUCUCAAUCGCGGAUACAAGUAUCUUAGUAGAUGUCUUUCAAACUUGUGUAGCAUACAGGUGAAUUCACUUGUCCAUCCAUGUCUUUUCUUCUCUCUAAUCUAUCACCUUCGAUACUUCUUCAAACCGGAAAAUCCCCAAACCUUAGACCCAUCUUCACUCCAUCUCAAUCGCCAUCGUCUUCAACAGGCUACGUGUUUGAUGAAGAUAGUCUCUCUACACUCUCCCUUUCUUCCGUCCAGUCUCCUCCUCUUCAAGAUGCCCAGGUUAAGACAAAACCCACUCCUCAAGACAAGCAUAACCACGACAGAGAUGAGUUCUACAUCAAUCUCGGUCUCGCUGUCCGUACGCUUCGUGAAGAUUUGCCUUUGAUCUUCGCUAAAGAUCUAAACUACGACAUUUACAGGUCAAUUUUCUCAUCUGGGUCAUUUGAUUUUUAAUGAUAAUGGAUGAAAGAACGAAUCUUUGGAUGCAGUUUUUUUUUUUUUAAGCUGUUAAGCUGAAUCUUUGGAUGCAGUUUACAAUAAAGAUCUUACCUUUGAACUUCUCUUUGU